AUGGCGUUGCUUGGCCAGCGGAAGGAUGAACUUGAAACACACUCAAAGCCAGAUAGCAUCUCCGUUUCUGUCUUUUUUGGUGGGGAUCGGAGCAGUGACCCUAGAGUGAUUGCUGAACCUAAUGUGAUCUUGACCACAUACAGUGUCUUAACGGCUGCUUGAUGGGGAGAAGAGCAUUUUCCACAGAG